UACGUAGGGGGCAAGCGUUGUCCGGAUUUAUUGGGCGUAAAGAGCGUGUAGGCGGUUUGGUAGGUCCGUUGUGAAAACUCGAGGCUCAACCUCGAGACGCCGGCGGAAACCAUCAGGCUAGAGUCCGGAAGAGGAGAGUGGAAUUCCUGGUGUAGCGGUGGAAUGCGCAGAUAUCAGGAGGAACACCAAUAGCGAAGGCAGCUCGCUGGGACGUUACUGACACUGAGGCGCGAAAGCGUGGGGAGCGAACAGG
rnacentral:rRNA from 1 species